GCUAGGAUGAACGCUAGCGACAGGCCUAACACAUGCAAGUCGAGGGGCAGCACAAGGAGCAAUCUGAGGUGGCGACCGGCGCACGGGUGAGUAACACGUAUGCAACCUGCCUGUAAGCGGGGAAUAACCCGUUGAAAGACGGACUAAUACCGCAUAAUACUAAAUUACUGCAUGGUAAUUUAUUUAAACAUUUAUGGCUUACAGAUGGGCAUGCGCAUGAUUAGCUAGUUGGAGAGGUAACGGCUCCCCAAGGCAACGAUCAUUAGGGGUUCUGAGAGGAAGGUCCCCCACACUGGUACUGAGACACGGACCAGACUCCUACGGGAGGCAGCAGUGAGGAAUAUUGGUCAAUGGACGAGAGUCUGAACCAGCCAAGUCGCGUGCAGGAAGAAUGUUCCCUAUGGAUUGUAAACUGCUUUUGCAGGGGAAUAAAGUGCAUCACGUGUGAUGUUUUGUAUGUACUCUGCGAAUAAGGAUCGGCUAACUCCGUGCCAGCAGCCGC
rnacentral:rRNA from 1 species